rnacentral:rRNA from 1 species
GGGAUGUAGCAAUACAUUUAGUGGCGAACGGGUGAGUAACGCGUGGAUGAUCUACCUACGAGAUGGGGAUAACUAUUAGAAAUAGUAGCUAAUACCGAAUAAAGUCAAUCAAUUUGUUAAUUGAUGAAAGGAAGCCUUUAAAGCUUCGCUUGUAGAUGAGUCUGCGUCUUAUUAGCUAGUUGGUAGGGUAAAUGCCUACCAAGGCGAUGAUAAGUAACCGGCCUGAGAGGGUGAACGGUCACACUGGAACUGAGAUACGGUCCAGACUCCUACGGGAGGCAGCAGCUAAGAAUCUUCCGCAAUGGGCGAAAGCCUGACGGAGCGACACUGCGUGAAUGAAGAAGGUCGAAAGAUUGUAAAAUUCUUUUAUAAAUGAGGAAUAAGCUUUGUAGGAAAUGACGAAGUGAUGACGUUAAUUUAUGAAUAAGCCCCGGCUAA